rnacentral:rRNA from 1 species
CUAAUACAUGCAAGUCGAGCGGACCGACGGGAGCUUGCUCCCUUGGGUCAGCGGCGGACGGGUGAGUAACACGUGGGUAACCUGCCUGUAAGACUGGGAUAACUCCGGGAAACCGGGGCUAAUACCGGAUGCUUGAUUGAACCGCAUGGUUCAAUCAUAAAAGGUGGCUUUUAGCUACCACUUGCAGAUGGACCCGCGGCGCAUUAGCUAGUUGGUGAGGUAACGGCUCACCAAGGCGACGAUGCGUAGCCGACCUGAGAGGGUGAUCGGCCACACUGGGACUGAGACACGGCCCAGACUCCUACGGGAGGCAGCAGUAGGGAAUCUUCCGCAAUGGACGAAAGUCUGACGGAGCAACGCCGCGUGAGUGAUGAAGGUUUUCGGAUCGUAAAACUCUGUUGUUAGGGAAGAACAAGUACCGUUCGAAUAGGGCGGCACCUUGACGGUACCUAACCAGAAAGCCACGGCUAACUACGUGCCAGCAGCCGCGGUAAUACGUAGGUGGCAAGCGUUGUCCGGAAUUAUUGGGCGUAAAGCGCGCGCAGGCGGUUUCUUAAGUCUGAUGUGAAAGCCCCCGGCUCAACCGGGGAGGGUCAUUGGAAACUGGGGAACUUGAGUGCAGAAGAGGAGAGUGGAAUUCCACGUGUAGCGGUGAAAUGCGUAGAGAUGUGGAGGAACACCAGUGGCGAAGGCGACUCUCUGGUCUGUAACUGACGCUGAGGCGCGAAAGCGUGGGGAGCGAACAGGAUUAGAUACCCUGGUAGUCCACGCCGUAAACGAUGAGUGCUAAGUGUUAGAGGGUUUCCGCCCUUUAGUGCUGCAGCAAACGCAUUAAGCACUCCGCCUGGGGAGUACGGUCGCAAGACUGAAACUCAAAGGAAUUGACGGGGGCCCGCACAAGCGGUNGGAGCAUGUGGUUUAAUUCGAAGCAACGCGAAGAACCUUACCAGGUCUUGACAUCCUCUGACAACCCUAGAGAUAGGGCUUCCCCUUCGGGGGCAGAGUGACAGGUGGUGCAUGGUUGUCGUCAGCUCGUGUCGUGAGAUGUUGGGUUAAGUCCCGCAACGAGCGCAACCCUUGAUCUUAGUUGCCAGCAUUCAGUUGGGCACUCUAAGGUGACUGCCGGUGACAAACCGGAGGAAGGUGGGGAUGACGUCAAAUCAUCAUGCCCCUUAUGACCUGGGCUACACACGUGCUACAAUGGGCAGAACAAAGGGCAGCGAAGCCGCGAGGCUAAGCCAAUCCCACAAAUCUGUUCUCAGUUCGGAUCGCAGUCUGCAACUCGACUGCGUGAAGCUGGAAUCGCUAGUAAUCGCGGAUCAGCAUGCCGCGGUGAAUACGUUCCCGGGCCUUGUACACACCGCCCGUCACACCACGAGAGUUUGUAACACCCGAAGUCGGUGAGGUAACCUUUUGGAGCCAGCCGCCG